UACGUAGGGUGCGAGCGUUAAUCGGAAUUACUGGGCGUAAAGCGUGCGCAGGCGGGUUUGUAAGCCAGGUGUGAAAUCCCCGGGCUCAACCUGGGAAUGGCAUUUGGGACUGCAAGGCUGGAGUGCGGCAGAGGAGACUGGAAUUCCUGGUGUAGCAGUGAAAUGCGUAGAUAUCAGGAGGAACACCGAUGGCGAAGGCAGGUCUCUGGGCUGACACUGACGCUCAUGCACGAAAGCGUGGGGAGCAAACAGG
rnacentral:rRNA from 1 species